rnacentral:tRNA from 1 species
AGGUUUACUAUCAAAUAGUUUGCUGUUCAAUAGCAAGGAUGCAUUUAAUGCCAACCUU